rnacentral:rRNA from 1 species
AUUGAACGCUGGCGGCAGGCUUAACACAUGCAAGUCGAGCGGGGAAAUAUAGCUUGCUAUAUGACCUAGCGGCGGACGGGUGAGUAAUGCUUAGGAAUCUGCCUAUUAGUGGGGGACAACAUUUCGAAAGGGAUGCUAAUACCGCAUACGCCCUACGGGGGAAAGCAGGGGAUCUUCGGACCUUGCGCUAAUAGAUGAGCCUAAGUCGGAUUAGCUAGUUGGUGGGGUAAAGGCCUACCAAGGCGACGAUCUGUAGCGGGUCUGAGAGGAUGAGCCGCCACACGGGGACUGAGACACGGCCCAGACUCCUACGGGAGGCAGCAGUGGGGAAUAUUGGACAAUGGGGGGAACCCUGAUCCAGCCAUGCCGCGUGUGUGAAGAAGGCCUUUUGGUUGUAAAGCACUUUAAGCGAGGAGGAGGCUACUUAGAUUAAUACUCUAGGAUAGUGGACGUUACUCGCAGAAUAAGCACCGGCUAACUCUGUGCCAGCCGCCGCAGUAA